rnacentral:misc_RNA from 1 species
GUACUUUACCUGAAGUCUUGAAGCAUUAUACAUUGGAAUGGUAAAAGACAUGCUAACUGGUCCAGCUUCCUUAGUGAUAUUUCCAUGUGUCUCUUGUGAAAGUGUCAGCUUUGCACAUAGGACAUGGUCAGAUCCACCAACAAUCUUCUUCAAGCCCCACACAAGUCUCUUACUUGACUCCUUAAAGUCAGCAGUGUUUCCAACUGCGCCAGGCUCCAACUCAAAACUAACCCUGCUAGUAUAUGUUGGCAGUGGCAUCUCUAUAAGUAUAGUAUUUGCAGUGACACUGGAGGAGAAUUCAGCAUGCACUUUAAUAAAAACUUCAGCCUUCUUGGAUCCCACUUCUUCAAUUAAUGCAUUAAUUCGGAAUGGAGGUCUAAACUCUUGAGUCAUUCGGUAGUUCAUGACAGAAAAUUCACCAUCUGGCGCUACCAGAGCCAAAGUCCUGUCAAUGUCAAAACUAUCAAGAUGUACUGAUUCAUGGAAAUUACAAUUGUCCAGAAUCAAUGUCCCUGCUCCAGAUGAACUACCGUAGUCAUGGAUUGACCUUCCACCUCUUCCUAUACUUAGUUCUUCAUUUAAAGCAAGCCGAAUCUCAGGGUUGCCAGUAAGGUAACUCUUCAUUUGGAUCGUGCCAUCAAUCUCAGAAGUAAGUAUGUAUCCACUAGCGCUGAAUGUGACACUUAUUUUCUCGAUUACAUCUACAAAAAUUUCCUCUCUAUUCCUGCCACGAGGUUCAUUGGCUAAAACAGAUUUGGUUACAGCUGUUGCAGGCAUUCUUUUGGCCCCUUGCACAAAGAUGGAAGCAGGACCAAGGCUGGGCAAACAUGCAGCAUCAAUCAUGAUUGGCUCAUUAAAUACAAAGGAUUUCAGAACCUCAGUUGAUGUUGUUUGAACAUAACCAAAAUCAAUCAUUUCAUCCAGCAGCUCAUACACGAGCACAAAAUUUUUGCGCAGUGACUCUUCAUUGAGAACACCAAGGUAAUCUUUGAUUACACGUGCAUUUCUUUGAAGAAAUUCCAGAACAAGUGAAGGUGAGAUAUUAACUCUUGUUGUUGCAACAAAUAGCAACCCAGCAACCUUCACAUGAAAGUAGUUCACACCAUCCACAUUAAAGACAGGUGGAGCUUCCCCUUCUUCAUCCUCUUUCCAAAACUUAACUUUGCGGAAAAAUAUUUCAGCAGUUGCUUUGGGCACUUCACCACGAUAGUCACGGAAGACGAUAUCGCCUCUCUGAGAGAGCACGAACAACUGCGAGAUCAUGGUUUCAAAUCUUCGAUUAUCACUUUCCUUUGUGCUCUCAUUUUAAUUUAGGGGGGUGAGCUUUUAGGUC